UGGGGAAUUUUGGACAAUGGGGGCAACCCUGAUCCAGCAAUGCCGCGUGAGUGAAGAAGGCCUUCGGGUUGUAAAGCUCUUUUGUCAGGGAAGAAACGGUAGUGGCGAAUAACUAUUACUAAUGACGGUACCUGAAGAAUAAGCACCGGCUAACUACGUGCCAGCAGCCGCGGUAAUACGUAGGGUGCAAGCGUUAAUCGGAAUUACUGGGCGUAAAGCGUGCGCAGGCGGUUGUGUAAGUCAGAUGUGAAAUCCCCGGGCUCAACCUGGGAAUUGCAUUUGAGACUGCACGGCUAGAGUGUGUCAGAGGGGGGUAGAAUUCCACGUGUAGCAGUGAAAUGCGUAGAUAUGUGGAGGAAUACCGAUGGCGAAGGCAGCCCCCUGGGAUAACACUGACGCUCAUGCACGAAAGCGUGGGGAGCAAACAGG
rnacentral:rRNA from 1 species